AUUUGUUAUUCAUUUUUCCAGCAUUCAUAGGUUCCAAAACUACGACCCUUCAGAGUAUUUGAGGGAGAACUGCCCAAUGAUGACCUGUCCUGGGGUGCGUUUCUCAAAAGCGUAGUUGUUAGCCAGUUACCAACUUGUGUAGUUGUCAAUGAGAAAUUGCAUUUCAAACUACAAAGUAGCUAAUAUAGUUAGCAACUAUGGUUUCGAUAAAUACACCCCAUGCCCUGGUCUGUCCCAGUCAGCGCACACUGCCAGGCUAUCCAAGUAAAUAAACAUUUAAGUGACUGUCUGAACCUGGGAGCGCAGCAAAGCACACAAGUAACUCAGCAGUAAACAACAAGAGUGGGAAAACAAGAAAGGGGAGGGAAGCGAAGAACAGAGACAAACAUCCCAAAGCAAGACGAGGGUAGAGCGGGUGUGGAGGGAAUGAAGAGAGGAGGAGUGAGGGAGGAAGAGAGGGAGUUGAGCAGAGGCAAACUUUAACAAGCAGCAAAUAAGCGAGAGGAGGGAUGGGGUAACGAUCAACGAAAAACAAGGGAUGACGAAAGAGAGAGAGAGAGAAUCACAGUGCAAGAGAAGUGAAAGAAAGGACACAGUCCAAAAAAGGGGGGACAAGAUGAAAGAAGAGAGCUAGAAUAAAAGCAGUAGAGCUGAAUGCAACAGAGAGAGAGAGAGAGAGAGAGAGAGAGAGAGAGAGAGAGAGAGAGAGAGAGAGAGAGAGAGAGAGAGAGAGAGAGAGAGAGAGAGAGAGAGAGAGAAUGAAGCAAUAGGGACAGGCAGAUUAAGAAAUCAGCAGGCAAGUAAGAACUUCUGAGGUGAUCAGGGGUGAAUUUCUCAAAAGAGAAGUUGUUAGCCUGUUAGCAACUUCGGUAGUUGCCAAUGGGAAAAUGCAUUGAAAACAGCAAAGUAGUUAAUGUAGUUAGCAACUUUGGUUUUGAGAAAUUCACCCCAGCACUGCAUUAUUAAGUAUGAAGAGGAAGUAAGAGGUUCCACUGUUUGUAUAGGCUAAACCAUGUUAACCUGCAUGGAGGGAAAGAUCAUUAUAAUGAUCAUAACUAUGCAGUGGUGGGUAACUUGGAUUCGUUAGAUUGCAAUCCAUUGUCAGAUAAACCAAAUGGCCCUGGGGCCUCAUGUACAAAACUUACUUGCGCACAAAAAAGCUCCUUAAGUAACUUUCCACGAACAUUUUCAGAUGAAUACUGACUUAGCAUGAAAAAGUGCAUGCGUACUAAAUUUCAUGUGGAAAUCAGACAUACCACAUGAAUCAGCAGGACAUUUCUGUUUAUGCAUGGAUUGAUACAUUUGAGAUUUUCAAGUGCAAAUGCAUUUCUUAGAUUUUCACUUGCGCAAAGAUUCAGUAGGAAAUCUACGGAGGUCUUUGUACAUGAGGUCGCAGGUUUUACCCGUCUAAUUCAAGCUGGUGAUCGAUCGUUAAACCGGGAAUAUGUGGUAGCCUACUAGACUGCAACUAACGACUCCUCCAGGUAGCCCGGCCGUCACUGCUGAGGAAAUGGUGAUGAUGGGUGACUGAGGUGCAGGUGAGGUGAUGGGGUGCAGGUGAGAGAUUGUUGGUAUGAGAAGUUCGGGUCACCACAGUAAGACUGACACAUUCAAGUAUUGCAGGUUUAAUUUAAGGCAACACAGAGCAACAAUAAAUGUGGUUAUGAAGACCAGCCGAGCAGCUAAGCCAGCUAAGCAGCUGUGAAACUGAGAAUAUGAUAUUACCAUUUAGUAAGAGAAAUUAUCUUUUUAUUUUAUUUUAAUCAUAAAUAAAUCUAUUUCAAGUAAAUGCAGUGGCUUUGUCAGAAGGCAAGCCUUGAUAUGUUUCCUCAAUGAAAAAAAAGAUAGUUCAGGCGCUACGUUAAACUUGGCUUCUCUGAAGUCUACCGAUAAAUCAUUUUUUAAAGCUGACUGAGCAGCCUAAGACUGCCGUGAAAUGACAAAAACUAUAGCACAAUAGAGCCAAUGUGUGUAUUCCAAUAUGCACACUCCCGUCCUCCACUUGUGCUUGUGGCCUCGCCCCGCCUCCUGGCCCCUCCUCCGUGGAGAAAACAAUAAAGUUUCCCAGCUGUCAGCCUAGCCACAACAACUUUUGGGAGACUGUUUUUCAUUCAUCAUCCCAAUUGCAAAUGAGAAAAUGACAUUAGAAUUCUGAUUUUGCAAGAUGUUGAAUUAAUUUUCUGUCGUCAGUGACAUCAUUAUGAAGUGAGCAAGGGAGGACGGAAGUCUGCAUAUUGAAAUGCACCCAGUGUAUAUAUUACCACCUAGAGAAUACUGCUAUACAAAAUCAGAUUAAUGACUAGAUUGAUUGUGUCAAAAACACCAAUUUGUUUAGCUAAAUUAAAAUGUCAAAGCAUCCAAUGUAGACAUUUAAGCUCUUGAACAAAAAUAAACUUAGCAAUUCUCUAAUAUCAAUUAAUCAACGACACAUCCUCCCUCACAGUGUAAUCCAAGGACAUACGGAUCAUAAAAUAAAUAUUGAUGCUUUGACAAAGCCACAAGAGGAUUUUACAAGCCUCACGCCGCUUGAGAGAAGAGUUUCCAGCCGAGCUUGACAUAGUGAGUGACAGGGUUCCCCUCCAGCGUGUGAUGAGAUGAGAUGAAAGCUCGGAAACAAGCCCAGUCCUGAUGCGACGGACUCCAUGGGGAUUUGGCACACACAAAGUCCAGAGGGAGGGAGGGAGAAAUGGGGGCAUUGGGAGGAAACGAGUGGAGCUGUAUUCCAACUAUGAGGGCAACAUGUUGUGACAUACUAAUUAGUUUUAAGUACUACAUGGUUUAGUGACAAAUCCGGGUAAGCUAACAGACUUAGUAGUGGUGUUGAGCACACCUAGUGAAAGUGUACGGUGUUGAUGAAGGGAUCCUUCUAUUACGAGGUUUACUCUUCACUCUAAAAGAGUUGUGAUGUAAAUGCAGCGAUGUCAUUCAACCUAGACAUAGUCGUAAAUCUGAUAAGCGAGGACCCUGCAGGCAUUUCAUUUUUUUUUUAAAUU